UUGGCCCUAUCGCUGUGGCGGCAUCCCAACCGUCGUAGCGGCGCCGCCACAGCUGCAUCUCUACCGCCGUGGCGGUGACGGGCAAUCAAUUUUCAUUAAAUGUGUCUUAAAUAAAUCCUAGACCCUCAUUAUUUCUCAUCUCGAUAUUUGAGCUUGGAGAAACUGUUUUUGGAGAUAAUUUGAAGAAAUUCUUGGAGGUAAAGCUUUCCUAAUCCUUUACCUUUCCUUAAUCACAAUCAUCUUAGAUUUCCUCCUUCCCUUUAACAAUUCCUUAGAGAUGGAAUUUGAGAGAGGGUUUAUGAAGAACAUUUCCCUAGAUUAUUAAUGAUAAAUUGAUGAUGGUUAUGCUAAAACUUGAAGAAUCUAAGCUUAUUAAUCACGUAUCUUCCACUUUUAACGUUGAAUUUCGGAUUUGGAGACUUAGGAUUUAUACCCAAAUUGGGGGUUUUUACUUGAAAUCAGAUUUAGGCCAAUUCUUGAGUUAAAUCAACAACUAGUGGUUGGGUUAUGAUCACCUAGUACUUAAUUUGGUAUUUUGCCCGCGAAUUUUUCGUUUUGCCCUUGUGGGCCCGUUUCCCCAAUUUCUAGGGUUAGAAUUGACCUAAUUGAAAUAGUAGCAAUAUGGGUAUCAUUCUUCAUGAUUUCUAAUAUAGAAUUCGAUUAUGCGUAGACUGCUUUGGUUCUGAGCUUCAGAGGAAGGGCAAGGCAAAAGAGUGACUUGUUGGUGUUGCGGUUCGGCAGUCCAGAGUACUAGGUCGGAUCUACUUCUCUGACCCGUGGUUGAUCGACUCUUCAGCUUCCACUCGAGUUUUCCAGGGUGAGGCGUCCGCUGACCUUGAAGACUCUCCUAUUUUCAUGUCUUACUUUAUUUCAUAGACAUAGACAUUAUGUAUUAGUACUUCCAGAUUGUAUAAUUCUCCCUAGAUACUCUUGUAUUAUUCAGACUAGACUCUGAGGGUAUUUACUGUCUUCCGCACUUUUUACUACUAUCUACCUAUAUAUAUCAUGAGACUUACGUA